rnacentral:rRNA from 1 species
ACGGAGGGUGCAAGCGUUAAUCGGAAUUACUGGGCGUAAAGGGCACGCAGGCGGUCUGUUAAGUCAGAUGUGAAAUCCCCGGACUCAACCCGGGAACUGCAUUUGAAACUGGCAGGCUUGAGUCUCGUAGAGGGGGGUGGAAUUCCAGGUGUAGCGGUGAAAUGCGUAGAGAUCUGGAGGAAUACCGGUGGCGAAGGCGGCUCUCUGGACGAAGACUGACGCUCAUGUGCGAAAGCGUGGGGAGCAAACAGGA